UACAGAGGUCUCAAGCGUUGUUCGGAUUCAUUGGGCGUAAAGGGUGCGUAGGCGGCGCGGUAAGUCGGGUGUGAAAUCUCGGGGCUUAACUCCGAAACUGCAUUCGAUACUGCCGUGCUUGAGGACUGGAGAGGAGACUGGAAUUUACGGUGUAGCGGUGAAAUGCGCAGAUAUCAGGAGGAACACCGGUGGCGAAGGCGGGACUCUGGGCCGAUACUGACGCUGAGGUGCGAAAGCGUGGGGAGCAAACAGG
rnacentral:rRNA from 1 species